rnacentral:rRNA from 1 species
UACGUAGGCAGCGAGCGUUGUUCGGAAUUACUGGGCGUAAAGAGUGUGUAGGCGGUGCUCUAAGUUUGGUGUGAAAUCUCCCGGCUCAACCGGGAGGGUGCAUCGAAAACUGGAGUGCUCGAGGGUGGGAGAGGUAAGCGGAAUUCCUGGUGUAGCGGUGAAAUGCGUAGAUAUCAGGAGGAACACCUGUGGUGUAGACAGCUUACUGGACCACUUCUGACGCUGAGACACGAAAGCGUGGGUAGCAAACAGG